rnacentral:rRNA from 1 species
AACGAACGCUGGCGGCAUGCCUAACACAUGCAAGUCGAACGAGACCUUCGGGUCUAGUGGCGCACGGGUGCGUAACGCGUGGGAACCUGCCCUUAGGUUCGGAAUAACCCCCCGAAAGGGGUGCUAAUACCGGAUAAUGUCUUCGGACCAAAGAUUUAUCGCCUUUGGAUGGGCCCGCGUUGGAUUAGCUAGUUGGUAGGGUAAAAGCCUACCAAGGCGACGAUCCAUAGCUGUUCUGAGAGGAUGAUCAGCCACACUGGGACUGAGACACGGCCCAGACUCCUACGGGAGGCAGCAGUGGGGAAUAUUGGACAAUGGGCGAAAGCCUGAUCCAGCAAUGCCGCGUGAGUGAUGAAGGCCUUAGGGUUGUAAAGCUCUUUUACCCGGGAUGAUAAUGACAGUACCGGGAGAAUAAGCUCCGGCUAACUCCGUG